rnacentral:rRNA from 1 species
UACGAAGGGGGCUAGCGUUGCUCGGAAUCACUGGGCGUAAAGCGCACGUAGGCGGCUUCUUAAGUCAGGGGUGAAAUCCUGGAGCUCAACUCCAGAACUGCCUUUGAUACUGAAGAUCUCGAGUCCGGGAGAGGUGAGUGGAACUGCGAGUGUAGAGGUGAAAUUCGUAGAUAUUCGCAAGAACACCAGUGGCGAAGGCGGCUCACUGGCCCGGUACUGACGCUGAGGCACGAAAGCGUGGGGAGCAAACAGG